AUGAAUAAAAAUGAAGUGCAUUCCAAUUUUUUAAAAAAAUGUACCGAUAAAGAAAAAAAAAAAAAAAGUGUUCAAUAUAAAAACAGUAGUAGUAAUAACAAUAAAAUGAUAGAGAACAUACCUUUUAAUGUAAACUGUGAAGUAUUUUUACAAAACUUAUUGGUUGGGAAGAAUUAUAUCGAUUUAAAUCUAGAGGUAAACUAUAAUUUAGAAGACAUAAUAGAAAAUAAAGAUAAAGUAAAUGACGCAUUAUUCUUACACAAAUUAAAAAAUAAUAAUAAAUUAAAUAAAAAUAUAACUAAUGAUAAAUACAUAAAAAAUAAUUAUUAUAAUAAUAUAGAUAGCUGCGAUAAUAAUUAUCGUGAUCGUGUGAACAACCGCACUUCUAACAAUGUUAACUAUGUGGGGAAAAAGGAAAGUACACGCUAUGAAAUGAGAAAUAAUGUAAACAAAGUGGGAAGAGUUAAUCAAAAAGAUAACGAUAAUUUAUCUUAUGUUACUGAAAACAUAAUGGGUAACGAUUAUAAAGAUGAUAGUAAUUCUUCUGAUUCGGACAACUCUUAUUGUUCAGAUUUAUCUAAUAGCUCUGCAAAAAAUGAGAGGAUGAAAUGCUUGAAUUUUUCCCAAAGAAUUGCUUACGAUAAUAAUUAUUCUAACAAUUUUAACAUGUAUGAUAAAAUAAUAAGUUCUAAAGAGUAUUUUAAUAACAAUCAAAAAUAUAAUGAUACUAAUUAUAUUACUUCGCAUACACAACAAGAACAAAAAACAAAUAUUAACAAUUUACCAUAUAAUAAAACUAUUAUUUAUAAUAACAAGCGGAAAAAAACGAGGAAUAACAGUGAAGCUGAUGUGUUUUACAAUAAACAGCAAAGUGACACAAAAGAUUUUUAUAAUAGCCAGUUUGAUGUUGAAAACAUGAAGUCAUAUAAAUCUCCUAUUGCAAAUUUUAAAUCCAACGCUGACAAUGAUUAUUUACAUAACAAAAAUAGUUAUAACAACAAUGAUAGCAUCAAAACGUGUAAAAAAAAAAUUGAAGAAGAUAUUUUAAUUACAUAUGAAAAAAUAAUUAAAAUUAUGAAAUAUCUAAGAAAAGCCAAAACAAAACACCCCGAAAUCGAAACAACUGUUUCUGUUCUUUCUAAUCAUGUUAAAAAUGUAACAUUUAAUUGUCAAAAAAUGUUUGAUUCAAGAUAUGAAUUACAGAGUUUUUUAAAAAAAAUGUACAUUUACCUGAUUUUUAUAUUAAAAAAAGUAAUUUUUACAAAAAUAAAAAAUACAAAAGCUGAUAACUCAAAUGAUUGCACGGAUAAAAAUAUUUCUAUACAAAACCUGGAAUAUACUCCAUCACAUCACGAGAAUUUAAGAGAUCAUUCAAAAAUUCCAAACGACCUAAGUAGAGAUUCUAACUUUAUACUACAUCAACUAAGCAAAGACCUAUUUCAAAAGAUACCGAAAAAUUUGUUAUAUAAAAAUGGAACAAAUUAUGAAGAUAAAAACUUUAAUAUUAUGAAUCAAAAAGAAUAUAGUAAAAAACCAUAUGAAGAACCCCAGCAUGAUUAUUUAAACAAUAGCAAUAUCACAAAAAAUGAAAAAAAUUAUGAAUAUAGAAUAUAUAAUACAUAUAAUAGUGAAAUAAAAACAGCUGACUACAAAUACAACAGCGAUAAAAAUAUUAAAGAAAAACCAAAAAAUAGUUAUACCCAACAAACAAAUGAAUAUGCAGCAAAUAAAUAUAAAAAUACAUUCACUAAUCUAACAGAAAGAGAUGCAACUAGAUAUUUCAAUAUUUCUCCAAUGAAAAAUAAAUAUGAGGAGACAACCAAAACUUGUAUAUACAAAAAUGAUGAAAAUAUGGAACAAAGUAAAGAAGACACAGAAGAAGAAACGAAAAAAGCAAAGCAAAUGAGACAAUUUCCCAAAAAAAAUGAGCAACCUUCCGAUUUUAAUUAUGGUUUUAAUAAAAUAAAUCAUAAUUAUAACAAAAAAGACAUAGACGUAAAAAAUAGAGAAAAAUAUGAUGGUAAUGCUGGUGAUGAUGAUGACAAUACAAUAAUUAAAAAAGACCAGUUGCUAACUAAAAAUAUUGAUAGGGUAUAUAAAGAUGGUUGUAAAAAACACACGGGAUCAUCAAAUAGUUACACAAAUAACUAUCGAUUGAAUAAAGAACCUUUAAAUGAACAAAAUAAUAUUGAAAAUAUACACAAUCCAAAAAAUAAGACCAUAUACAAACAAACUUAUACUAUAAAUGAUGUUUUAAAAAAUAACUACUUAAACAUUAUCGAUUUACAAAAAAAAAAUGAAACCAAAAAUAUGUUCUCCAAUACUAAAUUGAGUUUAAAUGCACUUAAUCUAGAGAGUAGUACUGCUCUUGUACGAAACAAUAUGUUGAAAAAUGAAAAAUAUAAAAAUAGUGAUGUAUACGAAAACAAAAAACCUAUAAAAACGUAUGUACUAUAUUAUGAUGUAAAUAAAGAAGUAAAAAUAAUACCGAACAAGGAAUCCAUUAUAGACGCAUUAAAAAAUGUCCUUUUAAAAAGUAUGUACACAUAUAUAUAUUUAAAAAAAAAAUACAACUAAUGAUAAUAUUUAAAAAUUACGAAGACUAUAUACAAAGAUAUAUAUUUUUAAUAGACAUAAAAUAAAAUAAUCUGUAUGUUAUAUACUCGAUAUAGA
ensembl:lncRNA